UGAGUCGACUAGUUUCAAAGACGGCAAUCUGUGCAUUUUUCAAAAAUUGAGUUAUUAAUGUGGUAACACAGAUAAAUUUGAAUAAAAGCGCUUGAAUUAGAAGCUACCUAACAAAAGCGGUAAUCUGCUAUAUAAAAAUCUAAUCAAAAUCCUGGCUUAGGAUCAUAUGUGGCAUUCUUUAAUACGUUUUUAUUCAAAAACGGCAAUCUUACGUCAUCGACCAAUCAGAAGCGAGCGUUGGUAAUGGCCGCUCGCACAUUAUUGUACGGAGAUUUUAAUACGUUUUUAUAGUUAUUUUAAUUACAAUUAAGUGAUUGAAGGUGUAAAGUUAUAAUGGAGUCAAGCCCCAGCCUUGUUACUAAUAAAUUUGCAAGAAAACGCAAACGAGAUCCCGAAAAUUGGUCAAGAAACCAAGCUAAGAUAUUGAGGAGUCGCUUGAUGCAUCGACUAUACCACCUUCUGAUUAUUGCCAAGAGGCGUUAGAAGAGGUUCCAGAUCUCCGUAUAUAAUAAUAUUCUUUUAAAAUUUGUGUAAGAAGUAAGUGCAAUUAAAAGUUUGAUUUUAU